UGGGGAAUUUUGGACAAUGGGCGAAAGCCUGAUCCAGCAAUGCCGCGUGUGUGAAGAAGGCCUUCGGGUUGUAAAGCACUUUUGUCCGGGAAAGAAAUCCUUGGCUCUAAUACAGUCGGGGGAUGACGGUACCGGAAGAAUAAGCACCGGCUAACUACGUGCCAGCAGCCGCGGUAAUACGUAGGGUGCAAGCGUUAAUCGGAAUUACUGGGCGUAAAGCGUGCGCAGGGCGGUUUGCUAAGACCGAUGUGAAAUCCCCGGGCUCAACCUGGGGAACUGCAUUGGUGACUGGCAGGCUAGAGUAUGGCAGAGGGGGGUAGAAUUCCACGUGUAGCAGUGAAAUGCGUAGAGAUGUGGAGGAAUACCGAUGGCGAAGGCAGCCCCCUGGGCCAAUACUGACGCUCAUGCACGAAAGCGUGGGGGAGCAAACAGGAUUAGAUACCCUGGGUAGUCCACGCCCUAAACGAUGUCAACUAGUUGUUGGGGAUUCAUUUCCUUAGUAACGUAGCUAACGCGU
rnacentral:rRNA from 1 species